rnacentral:rRNA from 1 species
GACGAACGCUGGCGGCGUGCUUAACACAUGCAAGUCGAACGAAGUGGCGAACGGGUGAGUAAUACGUGUGUAACCUGCCCUCCUUUUUGGGAUAAGCCUUUGCAACGGUGUCUAAUACCGAAUAACGGGGGAUGGGCUCGCGGCCUAUCAGCUUGUUGGUGGGGUGAUUGCCUACCAAGGGGGUGACGGGUAGCCUGGCUGAGUGGGUGACCGGCCAAAUUGGGACUGAGUGACGGCCCAGACACCAAGGGGAGGCAGCAGUGGGGGAUAGUGAAACAUGGGAGAAAGCCGGAUGCAGCGAGGCACGGUGGGGGAUGAAGGCUUUCGGGUUGUAAACCUAUGUCGCUAACGAAAGGGUAGGUGGAGAAGAAGCGACGGCUAACUACGUGCCAGCAGCCGCGGUAAUAC